ACUGCUCAGUAACACGUAGUCAACAUGCCCAAGGGACGUGGAUAACCUCGGGAAACUGAGGAUAAACCGCGAUAGGUCAUCACUUCUGGAAUGGGUAAUGGCCGAAAUCUAUAUGGCCCUUGGAUUGGACUGCGGCCGAUCAGGCUGUUGGUGAGGUAAUGGCCCACCAAACCUACAACCGGUACGGGCUCUGAGAGGAGGAGCCCGGAGAUGGGCACUGAGACAAGGGCCCAGGCCCUAUGGGGCGCAGCAGGCGCGAAACCUCUGCAAUAGGCGAAAGCUUGACAGGGUUACUCUGAGUGAUUUCCGUUAAGGAGAUCUUUUGGCACCUCUAAAAAUGGUGCAGAAUAAGGGGUGGGCAAGUCUGGUGUCAGCCGCCGCGGUAAUACCAGCACCCCGAGUGGUCGGGACGUUUAUUGGGCCUAAAGCAUCCGUAGCCGGUUCUACAAGUCUUCCGUUAAAUCCACCUGCUUAACAGAUGGGCUGCGGAAGAUACUAUAGAGCUAGGAGGCCAGUGGCGAAGGCGGCUUGCCAGAACGCGCUCGACGGUGAGGGAUGAAAGCUGGGGGAGCAAACCGGAUUAGAUACCCGGGUAGUCCCAGCUGUAAACGAUGCAGACUCGGUGAUGAGUUGGCUUAUUGCUAACUCAGUGCCGCAGGGAAGCCGUUAAGUUUGCCGCCUGGGGAGUACGGUCGCAAGACUGAAACUUAAAGGAAUUGGGAGAGGUACACGGUACUCGAUAGGAAGGGGUAAAAUCCUUUGAUCUAUUGAUGACCACGGCGGGGGGAGCAC
rnacentral:rRNA from 1 species